UACAGAGGUCUCAAGCGUUGUUCGGAUUCAUUGGGCGUAAAGGGUGCGUAGGCGGCGCGGUAAGUCGGGUGUGAAAUCUCGGGGCUUAACUCCGAAACUGCAUUCGAUACUGCCGUGCUUGAGGACUGGAGAGGAGACUGGAAUUUACGGUGUAGCGGUGAAAUGCGUAGAUAUCGUAAGGAAACAUCAGUGGCGAAAAGC
rnacentral:rRNA from 1 species